CCUGACGCAGCAACGCCGCGUGCGGGAUGACGGCCUUCGGGUUGUAAACCGCUUUCAGCAGGGACGAAGGGUCACUUUGACGGUACCUGCAGAAGAAGCACCGGCUAACUACGUGCCAGCAGCCGCGGUGAUACGUAGGGUGCGAGCGUUGUCCGGAAUUAUUGGGCGUAAAGAGCUUGUAGGCGGUCUGUUGCGUCGGAAGUGAAAACUCAGGGCUUAACCCUGAGCCUGCUUUCGAUACGGGCAGACUUGAGGGAUGUAGGGGAGAACGGAAUUCCUGGUGGAGCGGUGGAAUGCGCAGAUAUCAGGAGGAACACCAGUGGCGAAGGCGGUUCUCUGGACAUUUCCUGACGCUGAGAAGCGAAAGCGUGGGGAGCAAACAGGCUUAGAUACCCUGGUAGUCCACGCCGUAAACGGUGGGCACUAGGUGUGGGUUCCAUUCCACGGAAUCCGUGCCGAAGCUAACGCAUUAAGUGCCCCGCCUGGGGAGUACGGCCGCAAGGCUAAAACUCAAAGGAAUUGACGGGGGCCCGCACAAGCGGCGGAGCAUGCGGAUUAAUUCGAUGCAACGCGAAGAACCUUACCUGGGUUUGACAUAUGCCGGAAACACCUAGAGAUAGGUGCCCCGCAAGGCC
rnacentral:rRNA from 1 species